GAUGCAGUAGCUGAUGCACCACGGGGAGUGCCCUGCAUGCAGAAGCCGAUUUAUCUGCCCUGCAUGUCUGGCUUAACUACUCGAUCCUGUCCGCCUUUGCAGCCAAACCACAGGACAGACCACUGAGAGAACAAGACAGAAUAGUCUCCUUUGCAAAUCAUCCUGUUGCUGUCCGAGGCAAAAAGCGGACAGAACCAACAGACAGAACAACUUGUCAUGUUUUCCCACACCUUAUUUUGAAGCAGCAUUUGUAAACAGCUUAUAGAAGUUAAAUGAAGCCUUAAUCUUUGAAAGUUCAAACACAACAUUCAGAUUAGCCUGAACUGCAUGAAGUUUUGAGUCACUCCUCACCCAGAGCAUGGGUUAAAUCUGUAAACCGCAAUGCUGGGAUUUCAAGAAAUGCAGGUCCACAACAGAUUCCCCAAUAAAUGCUGAGGACAGCACAGAAGUGGAAAGCUUUUAUCACAGGAGUCAGCAACAAGGAGCAGAUGCAGGGGAAAGCAGAAGUGAAGCACAGCACAAGCAUACAGGGAUACUGCGAUAACUACCUGAGUGCCUUGGAAGUAUCCAGCAACUGCAGCUCCAGUAAAUUCAGGAAGCAAAUUCGCCUCCAGAGAACUGGAAAAGUAGACCUCCUUUUUUUACUGUCUCAAAGGGAUAAAAGAAAAGAAUGCUUACUGGUAAAGACUGUACCAAUCACUUUCAUAAAUGCAUCUCCUCUAACAUCACAUGCACAUCCUCUCUUUUUUUCAGCUUUCUUAAAGGUUUAGUUUCAGUUUAGAAGCAUUGUACCAAAUCUUUUCUUCUUCCACUUACUAAAGUGAUUGAAUAGCACAUCUUUCUUUUAACUGCCUCCAUAAUAUUUUAGCCCUGCCUAACCUAUGAAAUAACAU